rnacentral:tRNA from 1 species
GUGAUCGUAGCUCAAUGGCAGAGCGCCUGGUUGUGGCCCAGGUGAUACGAGUUCGAUUCUCGUCGAUCACCCCA